CCUACGGGGGGCUGCAGUGGGGAAUAUUGGACAAUGGGGGCAACCAUGAUCCAGCCAUGCCGCGUGUGUGAAGAAGGCCCUCGGGUUGUAAAGCACUUUCAGUGAGGAAGAACGCCUGGUGGUUAAUACCCAUCAGGAAAGACAUCACUCACAGAAGAAGCACCGGCUAACUCCGUGCCAGCAGCCGCGGUAAUACGGAGGGUGCGAGCGUUAAUCGGAAUUACUGGGCGUAAAGCGCGCGUAGGUGGCUUGAUAAGCCGGUUGUGAAAGCCCCGGGCUCAACCUGGGAACGGCAUCCGGAACUGUCAAGCUAGAGUGCAGGAGAGGAAGGUAGAAUUCCCGGUGUAGCGGUGAAAUGCGUAGAGAUCGGGAGGAAUACCAGUGGCGAAGGCGGCCUUCUGGACUGACACUGACACUGAGGUGCGAAAGCGUGGGUAGCAAACAGGAUUAGAUACCCCUGUAGUC
rnacentral:rRNA from 1 species